CCUACGGGAGGCAGCAGUGAGGAAUAUUGGUCAAUGGGCGCAAGCCUGAACCAGCCAAGUAGCGUGAAGGAUGACUGCCCUACGGGUUGUAAACUUCUUUUAUACGGGAAUAAAGUGCGGUACGUGUGCCUUUUUGCAUGUACCUUAUGAAUAAGGAUCGGCUAACUCCGUGCCAGCAGCCGCGGUAAUACGGAGGAUCCGAGCGUUAUCCGGAUUUAUUGGGUUUAAAGGGAGCGUAGGCGGGGUGUUAAGUUAGUUGUGAAAUUUUGCGGCUCAACCGUGGAAUUGCAGUUGAUACUGGCAGCCUUGAGUGCAGUUGAGGUAGGCGGAAUUCGUGGUGUAGCGGUGAAAUGCUUAGAGAUCACGAAGAACUCCGAUUGCGAAGGCAGCUUACUAAACUGCAACUGACGUUGAUGCUCGAAAGUGUGGGUAUCAAACAGGAUUAGAUACCCCUGUAGUC
rnacentral:rRNA from 1 species